ACCAGCUGACGAGUCCCAAAUGGGACGAAAUGCGCGUUGUACCGGAU
rnacentral:hammerhead_ribozyme from 1 species